UUAGAUUGAUUCGGUCCUCCAUUUUCUCCCGCAAUUCUCGGAGGGAUUCCGACCUCCCUCUCCGCCGAAACCCUAAUCCAAUUAGAGCUACGUACUGUUUCGCAAGCUCGAUCUCUUCCAUGGAUGGAAAUGGUGGUGUUGGUGGGCACUACCAUGCUCUAUCUCCGGAGGGGGGGUGUUUAGGGUAAUCCGGAGUUAGGAGAGUUGGUAUGAUUUAAGCCCUCACCACUGGUUGUUUUGUUUUGAUUUGAUUUGAUUUGGUUUAAUUUGAUUUGAUUCUAUUCGUAAUUUGCUUUAUUUGUUUUGAGUUAAUUUGUUUUGAUGGGAUUCGAACACAGAACAGGUCCUGUUCUGAUCCCAUGUAGAACAUCAGUUUAACUCAAAAAGCUUGAGUUGAUAGAGAACGGUGUUUUGGAUAGUUAUCUUUAGUAGUUUUAUGGGAGGUGUUCGUCGAAGAAGUUUGGCUAUAACAAUCACACUUUAUUAACCCAUACAUUUCAAGUUAUGGAAUCGCAUAUUGUGACCUUUCGAAUUAGAGAAAUCAAGAUAUUUUGGCAGUGAUGUUAAUAGAAAUUAUUAGCGACAAAGCAGAUUCAUUGAAAUCGAUCAAGUCUAUCACGUAAAUAUCUGCUAAAAUUCAAUGUAUUACUUGUCAAUAGUAAUUUCUUCUUUGUUAAUUUUACUAUCAACUUACAUUUGAAUGAUUUAUAAUGUAAUUAGUAUCAUGAGCUAUCGAAAAAUUUCUAUGUGAAUAUGACAUGAUAUUGAGGUAGGAAAUUUUGGGAGGAAUAAGUGCCAAAAAGAGUAUAUUUGGGGUAUUUUAAUAGAAUGAUUGCCGAAAGAAGUAUGAUGUCGGUGGAUUUUUAUGCUAUGCCAAGUUUUUAUUGGCUUGUGAUGAUGCUUCCUGCAUGGUAUAAGCAUUACACUGGAGCUCGGGCUUUUCAUGAUGCUUCUGUAACGCUUUUGCAAAGAUUCUUUGGUGAUUCACGGUUGUGCUGUAUUCCUGAGAAGAGCUUUGACGGUAGUGAUGAGCAUCAAGAGCAGUGACUAGAGUUUAGAGUGCUGCGGAGGUUCGAGCUGUGGGUGUGAAGGAGACAGAAAAUGAAGUAGAAAAUUGUUAUGGAAUUUGACAGUAACUGGGAAAAGGAUUACACGAGUUUAAAUUAUUUUUCGGAUUUGGAUUGAAUACCGUCUCCGCACCACUUCGAUGAGCAACUUCAUUCCCCCAACGCUUUCUGCUAUUGUGGAAUACCUCUAGCAGAACGCAACAUGUUGGCAAGCUCUCAGCAGCCUAGAGUCUGUACUGAUGUCGGCAGACUACAUAGCAGACCUGCACAGGGUGGUGUACCGGUGAGGAAAUCCAUGUUUAAGACAUAUAGUGACUUUCUAAUGAAAGAUGUUACAAUCACAUAAUUUUUUCCCAAACAUUUCCAAGUUCUGGUGUUGCAAGUUUAGAUUGCUUUAUUGGAGAACGGAAAGAUAUACUGUAAUGAAAUACAGGUAGUAUUACAAGCGAAUGAAAAGUUGACAUGUAGUGUGAUGUGAGUUUAUAUAAGGUUAAGAACAUUUUAGGGAGAAUAGGUAGCAAAAGAACUACAAUUUUAAUGGCUUUUAGCGUGUAUGCUGAUUUUUUAUUGCCUUGUGAUACUUCCCACAUUCUCAUAACUGUUACAUGAAGACUUCUCUCUACUUUCGACCUAUAUAUUCUGAAAUUUCAAGAUUGGUGCUUAUCUAUCCUAGUUGAUAGUACUAAAUUAUAGCUCCUCAUCUUGAAAGGCUUUAUAUAUCUGCAACUUAGAGCUAUUUAGAUCUUAGUGGUUUAUUCUAGCAGCAGCAAAGAGUUUCUAUCUAUUAAUUUGGACUCAACCUGUUUACUGUUGGUAUUCGAGCAAAUAUUUCUUUAUUCGUUCAGAAUUUGUGGUGAUAAGAGUUUGGCUAGGCCUGUGAAUUGGCACUUUAUGAACCAAAACAUUUCACAUCGUUGAAUCAAUAGGGUAAUAUACUCUGUUUUAUUGGAUUAUUUCACUGGUUUCAUAUUUUUGAUUGGCCAAAAUAGAUCAAAUGAACUUAUUUCCUUUCCAGGAGGAUUAAUAAUUGAGAGUGGUGGGAAGAUUAUUGUCUUUGGAGGUGUAGGAAAAGAACAAGUUUUGAUUAGUCAUUACAGCAGAUGAAUUUGUAGAACAAUUAAUUGGUUCUUGGAGGAUGAGGCUUCUCUUGCGCAGACAUCUUAUCAUCGGUUGCAUGUAAGGUUUGCUCUAGCCUGCUCCAAAAUCUGCAGUAGCGGCUUGCUCCCGCAUCUCCGUCCUUCGUCGAGCGGUGUGUUUCCCCAUCUAUAGCCAACAAGUCAAAAACGCAGAAUAAAUAUCAUCUUUAUAGAAAGCAAGUAGCUCUAGUAUUGCACAAAACAUAAGAAACUUGAGGUGUUCUGAAAUUGCCCUUUAUAUGUCUUGUUGUUUGGAAGCUGAAAGUUACUAGACACUAAAAUGUGCUAAAAAAUGUAGAAGAAAAUAGAGCUAAAUAACAAUAAGAUUUGCUCCUUGGUUUUGAAUAUGGGAAAUGAGCAAAGUACAAUACCUAUCUUUAGAAAGAACAUCUGCUCCGAAUUCUAACAAUACUGCAGCAACAAGGUGUAGUCCCUCUGCUGCUGCAAUGUGAAGUGGUGUCCUCAGAUCAUAAUUUUUGGUGUUUGGAUCAACUCCAUAUUCUAAUAAUCUUCGGAGAGUGCUGAUAUUGCUUUCGGUUGCAAUUUUACGGAGAUAACUUCCAUUAUCUUCCAAAUNNNNN
rnacentral:lncRNA from 1 species